rnacentral:rRNA from 1 species
GGGGCAGCGGGGUUGUAGCAAUACAACUGCCGGCGACCGGCGCACGGGUGAGUAACACGUAUGUAACCUGCCCUCUGCAGGGGGAUAAGCGGAAGAAAUUCCGUCUAAUACCGCAUAAUACAAUUUGGAGACAUCUCCGGGUUGUCAAAGGAGUGAUCCGGCAGAGGAUGGACAUGCGGCGCAUUAGCUAGUCGGCGGGGUAACGGCCCACCGAGGCUACGAUGCGUAGGGGUUCUGAGAGGAAGGUCCCCCACACUGGUACUGAGACACGGACCAGACUCCUACGGGAGGCAGCAGUGAGGAAUAUUGGUCAAUGGGCGGAAGCCUGAACCAGCCAAGUCGCGUGUGGGAAGACGGUCCUAUGGAUUGUAAACCUCUUUUGCAGGGGAGCAAGGCGCGGUACGUGUACCGCGAAGGAGAGUACCCUGAGAAAAAGCAUCGGCUAACUCCGUGCCAGCAGCCGCGGUAAUACGGAGGAUGCGAGCGUUAUCCGGAUUUAUUGGGUUUAAAGGGUGCGCAGGCGGACUGUUAAGUCAGCGGUAAAAUGUCGGUGCUCAACACCGGCCGGCCGUUGAAACUGGCAGCCUUGAGUGAGCGAGAAGUAUGCGGAAUGCGUGGUGUAGCGGUGAAAUGCAUAGAUAUCACGCAGAACUCCGAUUGCGAAGGCAGCAUACCGGCGCUCAACUGACGCUCAGGCACGAAAGCGUGGGUAUCGAACAAAGUUAGAUACCCUGGUAGUCCACGCAGUAAACG